rnacentral:lncRNA from 1 species
AUUUUAAUAUUUGUACUGAAUUUGAGUGGUCGGAGUUGUUUUUUUUUUUUUUUUUUUUUUGACAAGUAUCACUUUCAUUCAUUGAAGAGUAAACUGUAGCAAAAUAUGAAAUAUUUUUCACAGUCACUGCCAAAUGAAAAUACAUCACAGAGAGCAAAGAAAAUAAAGCAUGAAAAUCUUGCAUAUGGUUCAGGCUGAACGCUCAUCUUCAAAAAAAGUUCAGAAUUGUUCAAUUCUCUU